CAGUAGCCGCGGGAAUACAGAGGUCCCGAGCGUUGUUCGGAUUCACUGGGCGUAAAGGGUGUGUAGGAGGUUGGAUAAGUCAGGUGUGAAAUCCCGCAGCUCAACUGCGGAACUGCAUUCGAUACUGUUCAACUAGAGGAUCGGAGGGGGAAGCGGAAUUCUUGGUGUAGCGGUGAAAUGCGUAGAUAUCAAGAGGAACACCGGUGGCGAAGGCGGCUUCCUGGAAGAUACCUGACUCUGAAACACGAAAGCCAGGGGAGCGAAUGGGAUAAGAUACCCCCGUAGUCCCUGUCUCUUAUAC
rnacentral:rRNA from 1 species